GUGCAGGAGAGGAAGGUAGAAUUCCCGGUGUAGCGGGAAAUGCGUAGAGAUCGGGAGGAAUACCAGUGGCGAAGGCGGCCUUCUGGACUGACACUGACGCUGAGGUGCGAAAGCGUGGGUAGCAAACAGGAUUAGAUACCCUGGUAGUCCACGCCGUAAACGAUGUCGACUAGCCGUUGGGGUCCUUGAGACCUUUGUGGCGCAGUUAACGCGAUAAGUCGACCGCCUGGGGAGUACGGCCGCAAGGUUAAAACUCAAAUGAAUUGACGGGGGCCCGCACAAGCGGUGGAGCAUGUGGUUUAAUUCGAUGCAACGCGAAGAACCUUACCUACCCUUGACAUCGAGAGAACUUGGCAGAGAUGCCUUGGUGCCUUCGGGAACUCUCAGACAGGUGCUGCAUGGCUGUCGUCAGCUCGUGUUGUGAAAUGUUGGGUUAAGUCCCGUAACGAGCGCAACCCUUGUCCUUAUUUGCCAGCGCGUAAUGGCGGGAACUAUAAGGAGACUGCCGGUGACAAACCGGAGGAAGGUGGGGACGACGUCAAGUCAUCAUGGCCCUUACGGGUAGGGCUACACACGUGCUACAAUGGACGGUACAAAGGGUUGCAAAGCCGCGAGGUGGAGCUAAUCCCAUAAAGCUGUUCUCAGUCCGGAUCGGAGUCUGCAACUCGACUCCGUGAAGUCGGAAUCGCUAGUAAUCGUGAAUCAGAAUGUCACGGUGAAUACGUUCCCGGGCCUUGUACACACCGCCCGUCACACCAUGGGAGUGGACUGCACCAGAAGUGGUUAGCCUAACUUCGGAGGGCGAUCACCACGGUGUGGUUCAUGACUGGGGUGCAAG
rnacentral:rRNA from 1 species